AACGCCCAGUAGCAGCAUAGCAGCCAAAACAGACGCAGCCGAAACUAGCGAAAAUUUCUAUAAUUUCUGCAGUCGCUGUCGAUGCUUACGCCGAGUUACCGUUAACUUUUUAGAGUCGCUAGCGCAGGCGAUUUGCACGCGUUUCAUUUGCGCGCGCGUUUUUUUCCAGCUUAGCUCGCGAUCUUUUGCCUAUCGCUUAACAGAGUAUAUCGUAGUUUAUCGAGUUCAAGAAGAUUUUAGUGAUCGACAAACUGAACUAUCGAGUGACAAAAUAACUAAAUAUUUAGUGGACUGAUUAACCGAACAUUUUUCUGCAGAAUAACGAAAGUGUUACUGCAAAUAAAAAACUGUGAAUUCAAAUUACUUAUUAUCAUUGCUGGCUAAUAAAAGCUUCCCUGGACGCUUUAUGUUGCUCAGGUAAGUUCUGAUUAGCAGCAACUGAUGAGUCUAGAUAUGAAUCUGAAUCUCAUUCAGAAUCAGUCUCCAGCAAUGCAAAAAUUGAAAAAGAGCGAAUAAUAGUAAAAGAAAAAGGGAAUGCAAUGCGCUUUUAUGAUAAAUGAUUUGCGAUUUGUGUGCAUUCGUUUGAGUUUUAUAGACGUUUCAUUACCAGCCAACAAUUUCCCCAGUGGCUGUUUGUGAAUCGUAAAAAAAG